rnacentral:rRNA from 1 species
UACGUAGGGUCCGAGCGUUGUCCGGAAUUACUGGGCGUAAAGGGCUCGUAGGCGGUUUGUCGCGUCGGGAGUGAAAACUCAGGGCUUAACCCUGAGCCUGCUUCCGAUACGGGCAGACUAGAGGUAUGCAGGGGAGAACGGAAUUCCUGGUGUAGCGGUGAAAUGCGCAGAUAUCAGGAGGAACACCGGUGGCGAAGGCGGUUCUCUGGGCCGAUACUGACGCUGAGGAGCGAAAGCGUGGGGAGCGAACAGG